CCUACGGGCGGCAGCAGUGAGGAAUAUUGGUCAAUGGGCGCUAGCCUGAACCAGCCAAGUAGCGUGCAGGAUGACUGCCCUAUGGGUUGUAAACUUCUUUUAUAUGGGAAUAAAGUGCAGCAUGUGUACAGGUUUGCAUGUACCUUAUGAAUAAGGAUCGGCUAAUUCCGUGCCAGCAGCCGCGGUAAUACGGAGGGUCCGAGCGUUAUCCGGAUUUAUUGGGUUUAAAGGGAGCGUAGGCGGGGUGUUAAGUCAGCUGUGAAAUUUCGCGGCUCAACCGUAACAUUGCAGUUGAUACUGGAAGCCUUGAGUACAGUAGAGGUAGGCGGAAUUCGUGGUGUAGCGGUGAAAUGCAUAGAUAUCACGAGGAACUCCGAUUGCGAAGGCAGCCUGCUGGACUGUGACUGACGCUGAUGCUCGAAAGUGUGGGUAUCAAACAGGAUUAGAUACCCGGGUAGUC
rnacentral:rRNA from 1 species